CUCGGGGGGGGUUCCCUCAGCCCAGAUUGUGAGAGGGUGCAGGCCAGGCCAAGGGACCCCACCGGUGCACU
rnacentral:pre_miRNA from 1 species